rnacentral:rRNA from 1 species
UUAGAGUUUGAUCCAUGGCUCAGAGCGAACGCUGGCGGCGUGCCUAACACAUGCAAGUCGAACGCUGAGCCCGUUGUAGCAAUACAGCGGAGGAGGCGUGGCGAACGGGUGCGUAACGCGUGGACAACCUGCCCGCGAGUGGGGGAUAACCCCGGGAAACUGGGGCUAAUACCGCAUAACAUUUCCUUGACGUCGGUCGAGGAAAGCAAAGCUCGCAAGGGCGCUGGCGGAGGGGUCCGCGUCUGAUCAGCUAGUUGGUGAGGUAACGGCUCACCAAGGCGACGACCGGUGGCCGGUCUGAGAGGACGAUCGGCCACACUGGGACUGAGACACGGCCCAGACUCCUACGGGAGGCAGCAGUGGGGAAUAUUGCGCAAUGGGGGAAACCCUGACGCAGCGACGCCACGUGGAGGACGAAGCCCUUCGGGGUGUAAACUCCUUUCGNCGGGGACGAAACGCCCGAGCGAUCGGGC